GGAUUGUUCCCAAUCAGGCCAGGUUAGUUUAUACUGACAGCAAAUACAGACACUUUUAUUAUUUUUAAUUGGAAUUCCACACAUCCAAUCUCCCAAGGAAAAUUGUCCCGUUAUUGGUCAAAUCGAUCAGAUAGUACAUCCAACCCGUGUAGUCAGACCAGCUCUCAUAACUUUAUCAUUGGAAUACACACACCUUCUUGAUAACGUUUUUUUUUUUGGACUUUGUAUAAUUUGCAAAGACCCCCAACGGCUGCUGGUGGGCUUUGAGCAGGGACAGGUGAGAUUUACUUACCUGAUCCUAUCCCUCGCAGGUGUCGCCAUCUUCUUCCAGCCAUCCACAAGAGUGCAG